rnacentral:rRNA from 1 species
UACGAAGGGGGCUAGCGUUGUUCGGAAUUACUGGGCGUAAAGCGCACGUAGGCGGGCUUGUAAGUAGGGGGUGAAAUCCCAGGGCUCAACCUCGGAAUUGCCUUCGAUACUGUCUAUCUAGAGUCCGGGAGAGGUGAGUGGAAUUCCUAGUGUAGAGGUGAAAUUCGUAGAUAUUAGGAAGAACACCAGUGGCGAAGGCGGCUCACUGGCCCGGAACUGACGCUCAUGAGCGAAAGCGUGGGGAGCAAACAGG